rnacentral:rRNA from 1 species
ACGGCGAGUGAAGCGGCAACAGCUCAAAUUUGAAAUCUGGCUUUCGGGCCCGAGUUGUAAUUUGUAGAGGAUGAUUUUGAUGCGGUGCCUUCCGAGUUCCCUGGAACGGGACGCCAUAGAGGGUGAGAGCCCCGUCUGGUUGGAUGCCAAAUCUCUGUAAAUCUCCUUCGACGAGUCGAGUAGUUUGGGAAUGCUGCUCUAAAUGGGAGGUAUAUGUCUUCUAAAGCUAAAUACCGGCCAGAGACCGAUAGCGCACAAGUAGAGUGAUCGAAAGAUGAAAAGCACUUUGAAAAGAGAGUUAAAAAGUACGUGAAAUUGUUGAAAGGGAAGCGUUUAUGACCAGACUUGGGCUUGGUUAAUCAUCUGGGGUUCUCUCCAGUGCACUUUUCCAGUCCAGGCCAGCAUCAGUUUUCGCCGGGGGAUAAAGGCUUCGGGAAUGUGGCUCCCCUCGGGGAGUGUUAUAGCCCGUUGUGUAAUACCCUGGUGGGGACUGA